GGGGGGCACAGUAGGGAAUCUUCCACAAUGGACGCAAGUCUGAUGGAGCAACGCCGCGUGAGUGAAGAAGGUUUUCGGAUCGUAAAGCUCUGUUGUUGGUGAAGAAGGAUAGAGGCAGUAACUGGUCUUUAUUUGACGGUAAUCAACCAGAAAGUCACGGCUAACUACGUGCCAGCAGCCGCGGUAAUACGUAGGUGGCAAGCGUUGUCCGGAUUUAUUGGGCGUAAAGCGAGCGCAGGCGGAAUGAUAAGUCUGAUGUGAAAGCCCACGGCUCAACCGUGGAACUGCAUCGGAAACUGUCAUUCUUGAGUGCAGAAGAGGAGAGUGGAAUUCCAUGUGUAGCGGUGGAAUGCGUAGAUAUAUGGAAGAACACCAGUGGCGAAGGCGGCUCUCUGGUCUGCAACUGACGCUGAGGCUCGAAAGCAUGGGUAGCGAACAGGAUUAGAUACCCUGGUAGUCCAUGCCGUAAACGAUGAGCGCUAGGUGUUGGGGACUUUCCGGUUCUCCAGUGCC
rnacentral:rRNA from 1 species